rnacentral:rRNA from 1 species
AUUGAACGCUGGCGGCAGGCUUAACACAUGCAAGUCGAGCGGGGGAAGGUAGCUUGCUACUGGACCUAGCGGCGGACGGGUGAGUAAUGCUUAGGAAUCUGCCUAUUAGUGGGGGACAACAUCUCGAAAGGGAUGCUAAUACCGCAUACGUCCUACGGGAGAAAGCAGGGGAUCUUUGGACCUUGCGCUAAUAGAUGAGCCUAAGUCGGAUUAGCUAGUUGGUGGGGUAAAGGCCUACCAAGGCGACGAUCUGUAGCGGGUCUGAGAGGAUGAUCCGCCACACUGGGACUGAGACACGGCCCAGACUCCUACGGGAGGCAGCAGUGGGGAAUAUUGGACAAUGGGGGGAACCCUGAUCCAGCCAUGCCGCGUGUGUGAAGAAGGCCUUAUGGUUGUAAGGCACUUUGAGCGAGGAGGAGGCUACUCUAGUUAAUACCUAGGGAUAGUGGACGUUACUCGCAGAAUAAGCACCGGCUAACUCUGUGCCAGCCGCCGCAGUAC